UACGUAGGGGGCAAGCGUUAUCCGGAUUUACUGGGUGUAAAGGGAGCGUAGACGGCAUGGCAAGCCAGAUGUGAAAUACCGGGGCUCAACCCCGGGACUGCAUUUGGAACUGUUAAGCUGGAGUGUCGGAGAGGCAGGCGGAAUUCCUAGUGUAGCGGUGAAAUGCGUAGAUAUUAGGAGGAACACCAGUGGCGAAGGCGGCUUACUGGACGGCAACUGACGCUGAGGCUCGAAAGCGUGGGGAGCAAACAGG
rnacentral:rRNA from 1 species